AUGACCAUCUCCUACUCGGACACGUUCCUCAAACUAUUAUUCCGAUGGAAAGGUUCAUUAUGGAAAGCAAUAUGGAAACAUCUUCUUAUUUUUCUCACAAUGUAUUACAUUAUCAAUGCAUAUUACAGGUUUGGGAUGACAAAAGAACAACAAAACGAAUUUAUAAAAUAUGUGAUGUUGGUUGAUGGAUGGACAAAGGAAAUUCCAUUAACAUUCUUAUUAGGUUUUUAUGUUGCUAUGAUUGUGAGAAGGUGGUGGGAUUGUUGUCAACUUAUCAGUUGGCCAGAUCAUCUUCUCUACAAUGUAUCUGCACUUAUUCGAGGUCAAGAUCCAGAGACGCGAAUAAUCAGAAAAACAAUUGCACGAUAUACAAUUUUAACAUCAGUUCUUGCAUGGAGGAGCAUAUCGUUAAGAGUUCUUGCAAGAUAUCCAACAGAUGAUCAUUUAGUAGAUUCUGGAUUAAUGACAAAAGAAGAAAUGGUCAUGUUCAAAUCAAUUCUAGUUCAUGUUGAUCCUCACCAGAAAUGGUGGGUCCCAUUGAAUUGGAUUCAAACAAUGAUGGUUCGAUGUUUUGAAAAGGGCACAUUAACACAUACAAAUGAACUUCGUGUCCUUCUGGAUGCAUUGGAAAAGUAUCGAAAUGGCUUUUUUCAGUUGUUCAUUUACGAUUGGAUUGCAAUUCCUCUUGUGUAUACGCAGAAAAAUUGAGAAUAACUUUAUCUUAAUUUCAUGACGUCAUUGCAAAUGCUGACGAGAAAACUGGAAGAGUAUCGACAGCGUAUCGCCAGUGUGUUCCUUUACGAUUGGAUUUGCAUACCGCUCGUCUAUUGCCAGGUUUCUACAAUCUCAGUCUACGGAUAUUUUCUGUUUGCACUCAUAGGAAGACAGUACCCAAGCAAAAAUGAAAAUGAAGAAAUAGUUGAUGUAUAUGUUCCAAUUUUCACAAUUCUACAAUUUUUAUUCUAUGUCGGAUGGUUAAAGGUCGGAGAGGAUCUGAUGUUCCCGUUUGGGGCUGAUGAUGAGGAUUUCGAGUUUAACUACAUACUGGAACGAAAUUUGGAAGUUUCAAUGUUAAUAGUCGAUGAACUACACAAUCAAGUACCACCUGUUUAUGUUGAAAGUUUGGAUGAUGAAAUUCGUUUACUUCAUACAAGUGCAUCGUCAAAACUAUCAAAUCAUCCACAACGACAGCAUCUUCGGAAAUUAAAAUUCAAUGUAGACGCAAUGCAAGUGCAAGCAGUUCCGGGAAAUCAUCUAAACGAACGAGACGUUUCCGUUUCAACAACUUCAAAACUUUCAUUCGCUGAUCUGGAAAAUUUGGCAAAUGGUCCUAGAAAUAUUCCAAAGUUUUGA